UACGGAGGGUGCAAGCGUUGUCCGGAAUCAUUGGGUGUAAAGGGUGCGCAGGCUGGCGCCUAAGUCGGAGGUGAAAUCUUGCCGCUUAACGGUAAAAUUGCCCCCGAUACUGGGUGUCUUGAAUCUGACAGAGGUCGGUGGAAUUCGUGGUGUAGCGGUGAAAUGCAUAGAUAUCACGAAGAACAUCAGUGGCGAAGGCGGCCGGCUGGGUCAGUAUUGACGCUGAGGCACGAGAGCGUGGGGAGCGAACAGG
rnacentral:rRNA from 1 species